GAUGAACGCUGGCGGCGUGCCUAAUACAUGCAAGUCGAGCGAACGGACGAGAAGCUUGCUUCUCUGAUGUUAGCGGCGGACGGGUGAGUAACACGUGUAUAACCUACCUAUAAGACUGGGAUAACUUCGGGAAACCGGAGCUAAUACCGGAUAAUAUUUUGAACCGCAUGGUUCAAAAGUGAAAGACGGUCUAGCUGUCACUUAUAGAUGGAUCCGCGCUGCAUUAGCUAGUUGGUAAGGUAACGGCUUACCAAGGCAACGAUGCAUAGCCGACCUGAGAGGGUGAUCGGCCACACUGGAACUGAGACACGGUCCAGACUCCUACGGGAGGCAGCAGUAGGGAAUCUUCCGCAAUGGGCGAAAGCCUGACGGAGCAACGCCGCGUGAGUGAUGAAGGUCUUCGGAUCGUAAAACUCUGUUAUUAGGGAAGAACAUAUGUGUAAGUAACUGUGCACAUCUUGACGGUACCUAAUCAGAAAGCCACGGCUAACUACGUG
rnacentral:rRNA from 1 species